AGGCAGCAGUGGGGAAUAUUGCACAAUGGGCGCAAGCCUGAUGCAGCCAUGCCGCGUGUAUGAAGAAGGCCUUCGGGUUGUAAAGUACUUUCAGCAGUGAGGAAGGUGGAUACGUUAAUAGCGUAUUCAUUUGACGUUAGCUGCAGAAGAAGCACCGGCUAACUCCGUGCCAGCAGCCGCGGUAAUACGGAGGGUGCGAGCGUUAAUCGGAAUUACUGGGCGUAAAGCGCAUGCAGGUGGUUUGUUAAGUCAGAUGUGAAAGCCCGGGGCUCAACCUCGGAAUUGCAUUUGAAACUGGCAGACUAGAGUACUGUAGAGGGGGUAGAAUUUCAGGUGUAGCGGUGAAAUGCGUAGAGAUCUGAAGGAAUACCGGUGGCGAAGGCGGCCCCCUGGACAGAUACUGACACUCAGAUGCGAAAGCGUGGGGAGCAAACAGGAUUAGAUACCCUGGUAG
rnacentral:rRNA from 1 species